UCAGAGGAGCUUUAAUACAGGGCUCUCUGUCUAGCUCAGUGUGGUUUGAUUUGAUAAUCAAGCAUUUAAACAAGUUCUGGGAAAUACUGAUGUACCCUACUGCGGCAAUAAAACGCUAGGUGAAUUACCUUUGCACUAACAGUGAGCUGUUUCAGCAGCUGUCACAGUGUCAUCCACAGCACCGCUCUUUUUGUUGGUCACAAGACUCUGCGCCUGUGGCUGACUGAGCGAGAUGAACACGGUUGACCUUGAUAUCCAGGCUCAGAAAGGGAAAAGAAUGAAGAUUGACAGAAAUGUAAUGACCUGGUUGGGAAUAUUAAGUGCCGUUCUCACUGGCAUUGGAUUGCAGUUUAUUGCAGAUAUUAUUCCAAAAUUGCCCACUGCACCUGUAGAGUGUAUUUGGGGGUGAAAGUCACCCUGUAAGUGACACGAAGAAAACAAACAGUUCGGGGAGAUUUUGCUGCCCGUGAUAAAACGCGGAGAAUAAAGUGAUUUAAUAUCGUGGAGACUCUACUAAGGCUGACAAAGCAGGAUUGAAUUUCAUCACAGGCUGAGGUGAAGUGUUAGUGUAACCUGAUAAUUACCCAUGAGAUAAAAGCAUUUGCCACUCCUUAUUGUAUUCGGGCCGACGGCGCAGUAUAUGUUCUCUUUCUCACACGACUAUUUGCCACACAGCCACUUUUCUGCAGCCUGGAUCUCCUCUCCAUCGACUGAGAUUGCUUUUUGAUAACACUGCUCUCAUCCCUCAAUCCCUCCAACUCACAACUGCAAACACUCCGACAAGAUCCUGAGUGGGGGUAAGGAAAAAUAGUUCCAAUAAAGGAAGGUGUAUUGCAAACAUCUGGGGACAGAAAAGUAGGAUUUCCUGAUUCCCUCGCACACUGCAGGUUUGCUGUGUGAUAGUGUUGUCGGGUUUUAUGGAUUUGCGGAUGGUUUUCCAUUAAUGCUCUGUGUGACAGACGGCAUCAACGUCGUAUUAACUUCCAAUUUUUGCAGAGCAUAUGGGCCUGACGUAAUGGAGGUAAUUAAUGUUAUCUUGCACAGAGGUGGGGUAUUUUUACUGAUCAUGCUUUAAUGACUUCUUUAAACCCAAAGCACAAUAAAUGUAAGACACUUUCCCAGAAACCUAAGCUUAAUUUUACCUUUUUAGCUUUAUUGAUUCCUGGUAUUAGGUGUUUUUCUCAGUCAGACUUUGUAUUUUGGUCACAAAUUGUAUUAAUGGGUCUUUUAUUUUUGCAAUAAAUUUCCCCGGUGCACAGACUCUGCCCUCUCCCAGUCACGUAGCUCUCCUGGAAACUGUGCAGACGAUGAAACUAUUGAUAAAACCAUCGCGUGAUGGAUGAUGGCGGGGGUGGCAGAUGAGUCAUUUUUGAUUCUUCUUCAGGAAAUUUGCACCAUCAAGGCCAUGGCAAAGGAAGAUAACCUCAAAAACAGCACAAAGGGAAAUUGCAAAUAGUGGCAUCAAAGAGACAGCAUGCAUAAAAUCAUUUUUUAUCUGGAAAUUUGACGAUGCAAAACCAUUUCAGAGAAGUUCGGCAAUGUGGAAACAAUUUAUCAGCAAUAACGUGCUGUUGUUGGACAUCCCUUUCUCAAGGUGAGGUGUUCUGAUUUUUAAUACAUGUGAGACACCUCUGACCCUUUUUAGGAGAGUAACGCUUUCCUGCAACAAUGACAGGUGAAAUUAUUUUAAUAAAUAUUCAUCUUUCAGUCCAAACAGAAGCAUCCUGAUGUUCAGGUUAGGCCCACUGGUCAGAGACUGUCAAAGUAACCUCACUCUGCAGCUGAGUCGUCCCUUUUCACUCUUUCUCCUCACUAUAACGCUUUGUGUUGAGCCUUGAGGCCUUUGCUUGUUGAAUGCAUUUUUUCCCUCAGUAUUUCUAAAGCCAACUGCUGGAAUAACUUUAAACUGCACUGUCAGCAUUCAUGUUCACCUCUGUGCAGUUUUUUUCCUUAUCUUUGCCUUUGUUUGUGCAAAAACCAACACCAACUACAGCCCCGGUGGAAUUGCUUGUAACCUUCAACAAAGAAUACAGGGAAUAGGUUUGCAGUGGUGACAGACUUUACAGUUUCUUCAACCAAUGUCACUGUUUUCGACCAAUCUAACCAUAUUCUGCAUACAUGUGAUCUCAAAUCUUUUAUAUACCUUAUUACUGAAUGCAUAUCAUAAACUUUGAAUCAUCAUGCCCCAUUAGAGCCAUGAAUACACAGUCUUUUCUGUGAGUCCCUGUGCUCCAUCAUGCCGUAGAUUCCUCUGGAUCACUUCAACUAGGUGCAUCAAUCUCAGCUCUGUCCAUUUUUCUCUUUCUGCAUCUGCCUCUAUACUCUCUCUAAAGGUCCUUACACACCGGGAACGAUGCAAAUAUACGACGCGAAAUUAUGAAAUAUUCAGAGGCAAAUUUUGACCUGCCUGACUAAACACAUCAAAUGCGCAGUCUGAUUUUGCUUCUCUCCGUCUCUGGAGAAUAUUGACUAUUGAAUAUUGAAUAUUGAAAAAUAUUGACAUCCAAAAUAAAUGCACGAAAAAAACGCUCCUGUGUGUAAGGACCUUAAGACUACAUUUACACGUGCCUGGCUGUUUUCAUAAACAGACAUUUAACCCUCUCUGUUUACAAAAAAACUGCAUGCACACCACUAAGUUUUUAGGAAAGUUUUCGUUUACACUAGCCCAUGUAUAUAUGCCGUCGAGCAUAUCAAACAUGCUGGUAGCAGUGUAGCGAGAAACUCAAGCCCACGUUAGCCAAUCAGAAUCCCGCAUUGCAGCAACAACAACGACGUCCCUUCCUUCUUCCUGCGCACAAUCUACCGUCCGCUACCCAAAUCUCUGUCUUUCCCCUUUUUUCUUUACAUGCAAACUUGCAAAUGAAGUUUUUCAAAAUCUCCACUCUGGCCAGAGUUUUCAAAAAUCAUCGUUAUCAGGGGCGAAUUCUCCAUUUGCGUCUAAUGAAGGGUGCAAACGAUAGUUAAUGUCUCAGUUUUUUUUAAAAUAACCAGGUACGUAAAAACAAGGCCUAAACCCCAUGUCUAACAUGGGUCUGGUUCUGCUCAGGGUUUCUGCCUGUUACACAAACUUUCUGCUCGACACGCUAACUUGCUAAAAGCUGCAAAGUGCUCCACCUGUGUGGUUAAAGAUGAGAUGGGAAUGGGUCUGAUCUGACAAGAAAGGGCUCGAUCUUAUCCCACCUUUACAUUGAGUCUUUGUAUGUAGAGUAUGGUCUAGAUCUCUGGAUCACAUUAUUUUAAAUUGGUGCUUUAUAAAGAUUAAUUGAUAUUCCUGACGUCGCUUUCGGCUCCUGUUUUGCUCAUCAUUCAUUUCACUGCUCUAUAUGAUAAAUUUAGACGUUUUUCCUCUGUGAUUUGGCCUCUUCCUCUCCCGUUUGCUCUUUCGGUCUGAACGAUUUGUCAAAUGUUGAGAUGUACUUCUCCAAAUUAAUUUUUCAGGAUUUAAAUCAGAGAUAUUAUUAAUCAGCUUUCCUUUGUGUAUGGGACUUAAUGAGACAGGCUCCUCCAGAAAGCUGGUUGCAGGCAAGCGAGAAUUUCUGUCCUAUAAUGAGAUUGUGAUUUAAGUAGAAGAUAAUUAUAGAUUAAACAUGUAAUCCUAAUGCCCCAAAGGCAAGGAAAGAUAUUUUGUCAGAUUAGUUUUCCACUGGAAUACGAAGCUGGGACUUGCAGGUGGUUGGAAGGUUGUGAAACGCAGACCUGCACUGCUCGGAGAUGCUUUUUUCGACAGAAUUGGACCCUGAGAAUCCCCCAUGAGAGGACGUGUCCCACAGUGACACAUCUUUUCCAAAGAAAACUGUUUCAUAACUUGAAGUCACCCUCUACGGAGACAUUCAGGAACAUUCACCCCCAGUAAGCUCUUCUAACUCAGUUACACAAUCCAAUUCAGCUGCACAUCACACACACAUACUCUCACACGGAGUUUAUUUUAUUCUGCUUGCACACCAGUCCAUACAAGCCAGGAUCCAAUUUCCUAAUUACUCCGCCUCAUAAAAAUUCUCAGUGCUCGUCCUCUCCACUCAACCUGACACUCUGUGGAGAUAGUUUAACUGGCAGGAGUUCAGGGAGUGAGAACAACACUCACCCACCUUCAUCUCCAUUUAUCUAUUCCUAAUACAUUUUGCAUUAAUGCUAAUAUUUGUAAAUGCAGCGCUGAAAUGCGGCGCGGUGUUGUUUGUUAAAAUGGUUCGCUGUGUUUAGAUACAGCGAGCAUUACACUCGGCUGAGAUAGCUAGAGGGGAUAAUGGGAAAGAAAAAGUGAGGCUGUGCUGGCACCAAUAAAGACGAGAUGGACGGGUCUGGCUCGUCCAAUUAUACUUGAGCCGAGGUCAGGAGGAGUGAGAGGUAGUAAUGCAGGCACUCAUGUCACCUUGAAAAACUAGCCGGGAGUUUAUACUACACUUUCACUGCUUGUACUCUACAGGACACCCACAAUGGCUGCCAGGAGCUCGAGUCUGUCAGUGAAAACUCUCUUUUCUAUGUUAAUGGUACUUCAUCACAAAUUAACUUCAGUGGUUAUUAGUGCUGACACUCAAAGACAUGGAAACACGGUACAAAAUGUAGUGUUUUUAAUAUGAAACAUUAUACGCUCAGAUUGAAUAAAAGUCCGAGCAGAUUUUGGGAAUUAAAAAGCUCGAGUUACUAAAAGGGUCUGGCACUCCAAAUGUUAUUUCAGGCAGGAUCAUUUUUGUCAGAAUUAAUUAAUUAUUAGCAUGCCAUUGCUUUUAUAUGGCAGAUAAAGCCCCGUUUAGACAUACACAAAGUUCCUGAAAAUGUCCAGAAUUUUCCAGGUGAACAGAAACAACUGAGUGUUUCCCUCUUGCUUCACCUGAAGUCUAGAUUUAUACCAGGAUUGGACGGGUGAGACAGUUGUCCUGUCUAGUUUUGCUACAUUGUUGAAAAUUGCUUCUAUAUGAAAAUCUGUAACAGGUGGCCGGUUUGCACUAUUAAUGAAUGUUUUACAUUUAUAGAAAGGAAUAUACUAGAAUAGGGUGACCAUAUUCUGAAUCCCCAAAAAUAGAACACGACUACGCAGGGGGCAGUGUCAUGGAGUCACGCUUAAAUUUUGACCGUUUUUCGGGUCAGGUUGAGUGAUUUUUACGCUCUUCUAACUCAGUAAGUCUACGCAACACAAACUCAAAACUUCCAUACAAAACCCCAGACAGAUUUUAUAAACUCCCCCGGACAAAGCCAGACAGCCCUAUACUAGGGAUGCAAGGAUAUCAAAAUCUCACGGUACAAUACCGUCACGGUAUCAAGUCGAUAGUUCGGUAUUAUUGCGGUAUUUACUUCUUCUGCAGUUAAUAUAAUAUGCCUUGCUUGCUUCUUUGUUUGGCGUCAUGAAUCGUUUCUAAAUGAUGGUUCAACAAGUGGCUUGUCAUAUGACUUGUGUUCCCUAAAUUGUAGACAAUCUGGCUGUGUCUGCAAACAGUUUUUUUCAUCUCUUCUCCUUGUUCAUUUUUGUUUCCCACAAAACCAAAAUGCCUCUGAUUUAAACUCCGGUAGGUUCUAUUAAUAAAAGUUUUCCACUCUGUCCCCCCUCUGUACUAUUUGCCAUCUCUUCCGGCACUGUGCAGGGGAUCAUGGGAGAUGUGGUUUGCCCACUCUAUAGCAGAAGAAAACUACACUAGCGGGAGUUCCCCAAGUUCUUGUUUGAUACUGUCACAUGCUAAGGCAUUAUUGCAACAGUUUUGAAACAGAAAUACUGUGAUAUUUACAAUACCGUUACAUCCCUAAUAUUUACAGUAAGACCAAGCUAGCAUGUUUUUGUUAAAAAUAUUGACAGCGGCUUUCUGAAUGUACAAACAAACUGGGCCACUUCCUUUGUUUCAGACAAGUUCUCCAAACCAUCCAGGUGCCAAAGCUGCUUGGCCUUAUGGUGACAGUAUACAUUAAUGUAGAGGCGAUCGCCCUCCAGAUGGCGGUUGUGGGACUGACUCCCAGCUUGGACCUUUUUCAACAUGUCUACCAGCGCUCUCUUUAUUCCCUUUUCCUGUCUUUGUUGAGCUGACUAUUCCCUUCAAAAAUAAGGCCAAAAGACUCAAAAAAAUAAGAGAAAUAAAAGAAAUUCUCAAAGAGCCAGUCAGCCCGCUAAUAGGAUAAUACAAAAGAAAUGUUAAGAACUUUAGGUCUUUGUGUUUGCAGUGUUUUUAAAAAAAAUAACUUUCCACCCUGACCUUUUGGUUAUCGCCACAAUUUCAACUUGUGCUCCAAAAAAUAUCAAAAUCUAAUGGGUAAUUUUCUGUGACAUUUUCUGAGCAUAUUCAGUCUCCCAUGAGGAGGAGCUCUGCCCAUUUUUACCAUCUUAAAAUGAACCUCUAUUUCUAUACACUCUGGCCAAAAUGUCAACUCUACACCUGAUAAAUAGCUACGAGUGGGACCGUGGAUUUAAACCGGGACCUGACUCCAUUUCUUAUCGCGCUUUAAAGACAGAUAAAGAUCCACGCUCAUCAUAGGCUCUGUUAUUCCUGGAUGAGGGAACUAUAAAAUUUUUAUGGGCACUUUUCUGCAGCGGGUAAGUGUUUCACGCUGUUGUUUGAUGGCGAAACACUUUUGUUUAUACACUGGCUCUCACUCUUUACAGAAUCACUGAUCUGUAUGAAAUAAUGAAUUUUUUUAUUGUAUGAAGGUAAAAAUAACUCUCUCUUCUUGUUCUUUGCGCAGAUUUAACAUGGACAAUUAACACAAAGACAACGCUCUAAUAGAAAGUACCUAUUUCUCUUUUUAUUGGCCCUCGCAGUGCAUUAUUUCUCAUCAUAACAAGAGUGGAUGUAUAAUAGUGAACACACUGGUACUGAUGGCUAACCACUCUAAGCUGUGUAAGUUUGAUUAGUCUGCAGCAGGUAGGAUGUGUGAGCGUGUCUCUGAGUGUUAGUGCAUGUCUCAGGGUCUGCUAUUGUAAUCAACUUCCUGGAUAAGAGUGCUCUGCAGUGCAUGGCCGUUGUGGAUUACUGUGGGAGCAGAUGGCUUGUCAUUUGUCUGAUUGGUAUUUGAUCUCGUAGUUUGCAGCGCGCCGGAGUAAUAAAGGCACCAAAUAACAAGGUGCUCCUGUGGGACGCCAGGUAGCCCCUGAGGCAGACGAAAAAAAAAAGCCCUUUAAACUUCUCAAGAGGAGGCACAAUAAGCGUGCACUUGUUGGUAGCAGAUGGAGGAGAUGCUGCAGAAAAGAUAAGAAGAGAGGAUGAAGCGGGAAAAGAAAUAUGUGUACAGGAAAAAAAAAAUGCAGGCCAGAUGCUUACAGGAAAAAAAUGUAGGAGAUGAUGCUGCAUUGUGCUGCAGUGUGAAAGCUAUACGCCUGCUGAUAUAUGGGAUUUUUUACUGAUCUAUCUUUAAUGAGCGUUUUUUAGAUUUUUCUCUGGGCCUCCCUCUGUCUGAUGCAUGUGUUAGAAAAAUCCCAGGAGGACGGAGCCCUUUAGAAAACUUACUGCAGAGCUGCACUAAUGUGAAGAAUUGACCACUUUCGCUCGCUAACUUACAGCCAGCGUGUUCAUUAAUUGCCUAUUUUAAAAAAAUAAGGGAUAACUUGUCUGCAGAGUCUGCAAGCGUCCUCUAUUUUGGCUCUCUCUAACGGCAGAAGUGUCUAAAAAUGCACCACAACACCGAAGAGAUGUCCCUUGUAAGCAUUAUACAUAACUGUUUUGCUGUCUGCAACAGUGGAAAGGUAAUUUGGGAAUAAAUAAUGUCUGCUGCUGCACCUGGGGCAUUAAGUGGUGUUUAUGUGGGGACAUAGCCGCUCAAUGUAAAUAUUUAUUUGUAGUCAUGCAUCCCUUGAUUGAUUUUCUGGCAACUCUUUUCCCUGGAAAAACAGCAGAGGGCUUGUGCAGCAUUGUUAAACACAACCCC
rnacentral:lncRNA from 1 species